GACGAACGCUGGCGGCGUGCCUAAUACAUGCAAGUAGAACGCUGAAGGAGGAGCUUGCUUCUCUGGAUGAGUUGCGAACGGGUGAGUAACGCGUAGGUAACCUGCCUGGUAGCGGGGGAUAACUAUUGGAAACGAUAGCUAAUACCGCAUAAGAGUAGGUGUUGCAUGACAUUUGCUUAAAAGGUGCAAUUGCAUCACUACCAGAUGGACCUGCGUUGUAUUAGCUAGUUGGUGGGGUAACGGCUCACCAAGGCGACGAUACAUAGCCGACCUGAGAGGGUGAUCGGCCACACUGGGACUGAGACACGGCCCAGACUCCUACGGGAGGCAGCAGUAGGGAAUCUUCGGCAAUGGACGGAAGUCUGACCGAGCAACGCCGCGUGAGUGAAGAAGGGUUUCGGAUCGUAAAGCUCGGUUGUAAGAGAAGAACGAGUGUGAGAGUGGAAAGUUCACACUGUGACGGUAUCUUACCAGAAAGGGACGGCUAACUACGUG
rnacentral:rRNA from 1 species